UUCCGGUUGAUCCUGCCGGAGGCCAUUGCUAUUGGGAUUCGAUUUAGCCAUGCUAGUCGCACGAGUUCAGACUCGUGGCGAAUAGCUCAGUAACACGUGGCCAAACUACCCUUCGGAGCACAAUACCCUCGGGAAACUGAGGCUAAUAGUGCAUACCACAAUCCAGCUGGAAUGAGGAUUGUGCCAAACGCUCCGGCGCCGAAGGAUGUGGCUGCGGCCGAUUAGGUAGGCGGUGGGGUAACGGCCCACCGUGCCAAUAAUCGGUACGGGUCAUGAGAGUGAGAACCCGGAGACGGAAUCUGAGACAAGAUUCCGGGCCCUACGGGGCGCAGCAGGCGCGAAACCUUUACACUGCACGCCAGUGCGAUAAGGGAAUCCCAAGUGCGUAGGCAUAGAGCCUACGCUUUUGUACACCGUAGGGAGGUGUACGAAUAAGGGCUGGGCAAGACCGGUGCCAGCCGCCGCGGUAAUACCGGCAGCCCGAGUGAUGGCCGAUCUUAUUGGGCCUAAAGCGUCCGUAGCUGGCCGCACAAGUCCAUCGGAAAAUCCACCCGCUCAACGGGUGGGCGUCCGGUGGAAACUGUGUGGCUUGGGACCGGAAGGCGCGACGGGUACGUCCGGGGUAGGAGUGAAAUCCCGUAAUCCUGGACGGACCGCCGAUGGCGAAAGCACGUCGCGAGGACGGAUCCGACAGUGAGGGACGAAAGCCAGGGUCUCGAACCGGAUUAGAUACCCGGGUAGUCCUGGCCGUAAACAAUGUCCGUUAGGUGUGGCUCCCACUACGAGUGGGUGCUGUGCCGUAGGGAAGCCGCUAAACAGACCGCCUGGGAAGUACGUCCGCAAGGAUGAAACUUAAAGGAAUUGGCGGGGGAGCACUACAACCGGAGGAGCCUGCGGUUUAAUUGGAUUCAACGCCGGG
rnacentral:rRNA from 1 species